rnacentral:rRNA from 1 species
UACGAAGGGGGCUAGCGUUGCUCGGAUUGACUGGGCGUAAAGGGCGCGUAGGCGGUUCGUACAGUCAGACGUGAAAUUCCUGGGCUCAACCUGGGGACUGCGCUUGAGACGUGUGGGCUUGAGUGGGGAAGAGGGUCGUGGAAUUCCCAGUGUAGAGGUGAAAUUCGUAGAUAUUGGGAAGAACACCGGUGGCGAAGGCGGCGACCUGGUCCUUGACUGACGCUGAGGCGCGAAAGCGUGGGGAGCAAACAGG